AUGCCCUCAUGUCGGCUUCCCCAAAAUGCCCUCCGGCCAAAAGGCAGAACAAAGGCAAGCUGAUAAAAGGAGGUUCUUUGCAUGGAUGCGUUUGGAGUUUUUCAUAUAGUCUGAUGUGAGUUCGAUUUAUUUGCAGCCUCUAACAAUUUGCACAAGGUUGCAACAGUGUGUUUUGUUUGCGGUGUUCGAGUGUUUCGGGGAUAAUAAUGGCACGAUCCUUGAAUAAUACUCCCUUUGUACUAACUUAUCUAAAUAUAUAUAGUAGGCAGAAAAAAAUAAUAAAAAUGACAUAAAGGGGAAGCAGCAACUUGCUCCGUUGGUUAAGUUUCUUGAAUGCAACAUGCAUGUUCCAUGUGUUUUGAGUGUCUGCCCCA
rnacentral:lncRNA from 1 species